GGAACCCAAAGGGAGAACAUGCACCAAAUAUCAAGCAUACACAACAAUCUCAAUCCCAAUAGAGACGAAAUGGAAUAUCAAGAGAAAUGAAACUACCAGAGCUUUUAUGCCAUUUGUAACUCCAGGGGGAACAUCUGAAGGCUCAGGGGCCAGAAUAGUUCUUUCCAAAGGUGCAGCACCCUUCACAAAAGGGUGAUCCAAAAGCUCAGCUGCUGUUGGACGGUUUAAGGGAUUACGUUGCAAACACAACCUAAUAAAAUCCUUUCCUUCAUCAGAGAGGUCAUCUGGAAUUGUUGGGAGUUCCUUACUAUUCCCAAUCUUAAACAUAGCAGCAACCUGCAGAUCAUAACAUGCAACUAUCUCACACAAUGAACUAAGCUCCAACUGGACAACAUAAACUAUCAUUUUCUGUAUAAGAAAAAAUGAAAAUUUAAGAUCGUUUCUGUUGCUUCAGUACCGACCCCUUCAUACUGGCUCCAAGGUGGUUUUGUUGUAGCCAUUUCCAAAACAGUGCAUCCAAGACUCCAAAUAUCAACAGCAAGAUUGCAACCACUUGAGUUCUUUAUAACCUGAGUGUAAAUUUAGAUUUGAUAUCACAAUUGAGAAACAUGUUGUUAUUAAUGAGUUCAGGUACAAAAAGGAAUAAUUUCUGACCUCAGGAGCCAUCCAGUAAGGGCUUCCCUUGAAUGAUAAUGGACAUGACUGGCCGGCAAUCUGCACAGAGCAUUUAAUGUUUCGCUAAAUUCUCAUUUAAUCAGAUGCAAUUUAUACAUUUAUUAAAAGAAAUUAUUAUGCCUAAACUUACAUGCUUUGCCAUCCCAAAAUCUGCCAGCUUGACCCGCCCAUUUGGAUCCACAAGUAUGUUUGCUCCUUUAAUGUCCCUGUAAAAUAAAUGCCCUUUAUUUAAGAAUACAAACAAUGUAUAAAUUGAGCAGAGUAGCUAAUCUGUAUAUAGCAGCUUCAAACUUAUUCAAGAAUAGGAGGAUUAUCACCUGUGGACUGUAUGCUUUGAGUGUAAGAAUGCAAGCCCAGACAAGAUUUGUUGUGUAUAAUUACGAAUUGCCGGUUCGCCAAAAUGUCCAUAAUCCUGGAGAAGUUUAUAAAUUGACCCACCAGAUACAUACUCCAGGUAUAUAUAAAGUUUGUCCUCAACCUGUUCGGGAAAAAAAAUCCAACAGUCAUAUUUGUACCAUAUGAAAAGACAAUGUCUGAAAAUAAAUAUCAACAGCUUUAAAUAACAAUUGUCACAUGCUUCAGUGAAUGGAAAUAGAACAAAAAUACUUACUGUUUUAGAUCCAUAGUAUUGCACGAUGUUUGGAUGCCGUAAGCGACUUAAUAAUACAAUUUCCUGCCACAGAACUCGAGUAAGAAUGUUUUCUUAAAGCUAUGCAUAUGUUACAAAACAAGGGAGCAAUUAAAUAAACUAUUCAAAGAAAGGAUGCAGGCAGCGGGGGGGAGGCAAAGAAACAAAAACCAUUAUCUAAUAAACUGAAAGCUGACUGUUAUACUUGGAAGUGAUCAUACCUGCAUCAGCUGCUUAGCACUCUCCUUUGACUUGGCAUCAUCAAAUAAUGUAACUUCCUUCAUUGCACACAUUUCACCACUAUCACUGGACCAGUUAAGAGGAGAAAUCAGAUACAUACAAACUUAAAUAAUGACCAACAUGUAAAAAUACCAAAACAGAUUAAAACAUCAUAUUUAAAAACCUCAGUCCUAAUGAGCCAUUUGUAAUCGAUAAUCAAGAAAAUCUGCUAACACUGAUCUCAACUACUUAGCUUGCUAAUGUACUAAAUUUGAUGGGAGGUUAAUACAAUUGUUUUGCAAGCCGUUUAUUAAUAAAAUCAAAGUGCACAUGCAUUAAAAAAAAUUAAAAAAAAGCAAUAUUCUUUGUGGCAAACCUGUUAAAACAAACAUAAACCACAAACCUGUUAAAACCAACAUAAACAUGUCCAAAUGUGCCUCUACCCAGCAUCUUUCCCUUUUUCCAGUGUGACUCGGGGCUAACUGGAUUUUCCACUCUUCCUGGACUUCGCGGCACAGAGGGUGAUGUUGCAGCCGAAUUUGAAUGAGAAAAGGGAGAAGAAUUGGAUAUUGUUAUAGGAGGAAGAGGCAAGCGGUGGCUUUGUUGUUUUCCAUCAUCAGGCCAGCUUGUCUGCGACUCAAUGGGUGCACCUCCUGCUCUAGGAUGAAUAGGGGUGACAGCACCACUUUGGAUUCUGGAGCUGGGGCCUGGGCUAGUCAUUCUGGGACUAGGUAUUGGUGAAUAUUCUGGGCUACCCCUGCUUUGUAACUGUUGCCAAAAUAACUGUCCUGACAUAUCACCUCCCAUCGAAUUAUUACCAGAAUUUUGACCAGAACCUGGACUAGAGCAGUGGCCAGAGCCAAGUAAUGUGACAUCUGCAUAAGGCUUCCCAGACCAGAAAGCAGAAUUCACGACUUGCUCACUACCAAAUGCUCUCAGUGGACUUCUGGAGGGACUUGACAACGAGCUGUCAGGAGCACUGCUGAAAGCACCAUGAUACGGAACCUGUAGAUUUGGCACAUGACCACUUAAACGUCUUUGUUUGGGUGAUGGGGAGAGACGAUUACUCAAUGAAAGAUUUGCCGGUUUUUUUUCCUCUCUUGAACUUGUUUGAGAGGCAUUGGAAAGAUGAUCCUUGGGCAUCACACUUCAGGGGUGGAAAGAAAGAUGGAGUCAAUUGAUCAGGAAUAAGUAGAUAUAAUAAAACAUCAAUAACAUGUGAACACAAAUUUCCCAUACAUUUACAUUUUUAUCCAUUGUCAAAGCGUCGAGUUUAAUGAGUUACGAGCAGGCUAACCUGGAAGGGCUGCUUGCAGCUGUUCUAGUCCCAUUGUCAUAGUCAUUUGCCAGCGGACUGCGAUGACGGGAGUCAGCUUGAUCGUCACUAUCAAUGGAGCUCUCACUGGAAAUAGAGGCGGUGAUCAAAUCUCCAUCCAAGUCAGCAGGAUUUGCCCUACUACGUAUGCAUGCCGGUCUUGGAAGAGGUAAAAACAAUGAAGACUUGGAACCUUUUUCCAGUUUUGGCUUAGUGGAGAUACUAAUUUCAGAAGCUGUACGACUUACAGCUGCAGAGCGCAAACCAGGAAGUGGAAGUGGUUGAGCAUUGGACCUUUCAACAAAACUUUGACUCCUCCCUACUUGCUUGGAAGGGGAAGUUGAUCUAGAUUCUGCUCGGGACUGGGAUCCUAGCUCCGAAACUGUAUCAUUGCAAGGUCUGCGAGACCCUCCUGAUUUACUGCUUGCUUUACCUUCACAUGUGAUCUUAAUUUUUUGAUGUAUUGUGCAAAUUAUACCAUCCUUACUUGCUUUUUUCUUCGACGAUGACUUUCCCCACCAAGAACGCAUUUUUCUUAUUCUUCAAUAUUUACCAAAAAAAGAAUAAAGCAGCUGGAAAUUUCUUCUAAGGCAAUUCCGUUUCUAAAACCAACAACCAAUCGUGCAACACUUUAUUCUAAAAUUCUAAAACCUGAACAAAAAAAACAAUGAAAAAUAUAACAUGGUCAAUAAUUAGCAAGACUGUGUCUAUGUCACUGUCAACUCCAAAAUCAAAUUAAACAAAAGUGAGAAAAAUUGCAUGUCUGAAUGUUAUACUGAAGCAAUGAACUGAUCAAAAAAAAAAAAAAACCUCACAGGCAAUAUGAAAAGUCAAAAUUAGUCAGCCAAUUUUGACUGAUUAGCAAAGCUACCUCAUCCAACAACCUCAAAAAAGGAACCACAUUUUUAUACUUAAAACCGCGUAAAUUAAGCACGUCUUGUACGUGCAUUAUAUAUAAUCACAACGCAAAUCAUAUUAGUUCAAAUUUCUAACUACAUAUAGGAACUGGCAAAAUAAACACGUGCGCUAAAAAUAAAAUCUGAAAUUCAUUCACUAAAAAUAACUCGAUUUUUCUCAAAUGAACUAAACAGAGUUUUACGAUCUUUAACUUAGUUCAAAACGACGGCGUUAAUAGACAGAUCUCAGCACAGGCUAAAAAUAAAGACAUAAAAAAGAAUACUAAUAAUAAUAACAAAAAAUUGUACUCACCGGCACAUGUUUUAACGGCAGUUUGAAUCUGAAGUGAAGAAGAAACGUACGUCUGAGAGAUUAGUUGCGUAAUGUUGAGAUGAGAACUGGUUGAAUGUAAUCGUGGAGAAAUGAAAGAACCCUAGUCAAAACGGCAGCGUAUUGAGGGAUUCCUUUGCAAGAAGAAUUUUGUUGUUGUUGAGUUCAAAGAGAGAGAUCGCGUAAAAAGAAGACAGAGAUUGAUAGAAAUGUAGAGAGAGAAAGAGAAGGAAAGGGAAGAGAGAGAGAGUAUGUCUGAGCCCAAGACAUGGAGUUGUCUGUGCGUUGAUUUUACAAUUAUUAAAAAAAAUACAUAUAUAUAUAUAUAUAUUAAAAUUAUAUUAUAUUAUAAUUAUUAAAAAGUAAUGAUGGUGAUUGCCGCAUUGGUAAAUUUCCGAGUACAGUAAACUCGUUUUUAACCGUUAGUUACCCCAAAAAAAUUUAAAAAGAAAAAAAUCUUUAGGGGAGAUGGACUGAUGGAGCAUGCCACGUCAUCAUGCUGCUAAUUAUAAAUUUAUUAUGUAAUAAAUAUAAUAUGCGUCAAGAUGUCAUCUAAAAUAAUAAUAAUAAUAGAUAAUAUUAUGUACUGUAUUAAUAUUAUGUUCUGUAUUUGAUUAUUGCCAGAUUUUUCUUUAUUUGAAAGUGACUUUUUUUUGGUAAUUAUAAUUUUUUAUUUUACCGUUAUAGUAUAUUUUAGUUUAUUUAAUGACUUGCGUGGUCGAUCUUACUAAGAUUUUAAAAUUUUUCUUUAAAUUUAAUGUAAUGUUUUAGUGAUAUUACUCACUUAAUGUUUUUCAACACACAAAAUAUUAGCAACACAAUAUAAUAAACUACAAAUACUAAUAAAUAAAUAAACAAGCAAAAGAAGAAUUGUAACUUUAUAAUAUAUAUUCAAAAUUAAUAUAGAAAUUAUUUUUUUUUACAAGAAAUGAAAUAAUCGAAACCAGAAAUUAAUGAUUAUUGGAAUCUGCUUGUUUGAGUGCUCGAGGACAAGUUUAUUCCCCAUCAAAACAAAUUUAAAUGUUGACGAGAUAAACUGAUCAUCUCAACAUAUACGACCAGAUUUCUACAUCAAAAUUUGCUAUUGUGUUGCGCGUUGGGCUCACGACCUGCGUGGCUUAUUCUCAAAGAUCACAUGGGUUCAUUGCUGCUGCGCUACUAGUGCUAGGUUUGCUACUGUGUUGAGUGCUGGGCUUGCGAUUUGUGUGGCUACCUACUGCCUACUGCUGUGAUUUUCUGACUCACAUGCUGGGCUCAUGACGAUCGCUGGCGAUAACGGCUAUGAGGCUGAGAGGGUGCGGCUGUUGGCUAUGCGGUAGGCAGUUGGUGUCUUGUGUUGUUGUACAUUUGUUUCACUUGUUUAAUUUAUGGCUAGGGAUACGGUAGCCUCAAGCCUGUUUUGAUUUUGAUUUUUUUUUUAAUUUGAAUUAUUUUUUUAUUUUAUAUAUUAUAGAGUUUUUACUAAAGACCAUAAUCAGGCCCACUAUAUACAAACUUUAUAUCUUUUAUCCUUAAUAACGUGUCUAAGAAGGAAAAAAAUAGGACAUCCGCAUUAAAAAAAAAAAUACAAAUAUUUCCUAUUGUCAUUUUUCCAAGAUCUUCCAAUUUCUGGUCUGUGGACCAAAGCACAUUCUUGGUUUUUGAUUCGUUAUUACUUCCGAGUUUUGUCUCUUGUGUUGGUUGGAUGAGGACGCUGGAGAAUGACAUGGGGCUGGCUUGUUUCCUAACAAGCAUUAUCACCGCUCGGUAUGCUCAUCUUAGCCAGCCAGCAUAAAUCACACAUAAAUGACAAUGGCCUGAUAUUGUGACCUAAUUACUACAUUUAUCUCUUCACUCAAAAAUUUUCUCUUUUGACUUUUGGUCCAGAAGAGGGCUUCGGCAGCCCAACUGCAUUUAAGCUUUGCAGGGCUAUCGCAACUCCAGGAAACAUCACAGCAUCUCCAGUCAAUUUGCUCAAAACUUAUCUUCUUUGACUCUGAAUCACAGUCAUUCAUCAUGGUGGAAUAACUCAACUUAAAAAAAUUUUAUACGGUCCUAACAUAGCAACUCGAUUAAUAUCUUAGAUUUCUUCUACAAAUAACUUCAAUUUCUUAUCAGUAAGCAGAGCCAAAAGAAAAAACUUUUCACAAACAAAUCAAACGAGAUGCAUCAAGCCUCAAACUUCUCACCAAAAGGAUAUCCAAAGGCAAUAACUAAACAAACUUUGAUACUCAAAUUUUAAUUCACGACACCGAAACUAAUUAAACAUUUCAUAAAGCUCCCAACUUUCAAAGGCCAAACAACAGCAUAUAAAAACCCAAGAUCCCAUAUCCCUUUUUCUCUUAUUUUCCCUCAGUUUCUCAGCUACCAAACACAUAACCUGUGAAUAUGUGUGUGUAAAAUAAUAAUAAUAAUAAUAAUAAUAAUAAAACUCUGUUUUUUUUUCCCGGACAAAACUUAUACUAAAAACAAAAUAACCCAUUAAAGAGAAGAAUAGUUACAACCCCAUAAACGAACCUGAAUCGCGGCUGGCCGGAGGCGGGACUCAGCUGAAACUAUGGCGGUUGCAGCGGCGUUAACGGUCUCGACGCUGUCGUGAACACUACUCAUCUUAUUUUCAAAUUUUCAAAACAUGAAACGACGACACAAACGAGUUGUGUAAUAACAUCUACAGCUUCCGUUUGGAUCUCCAAACGAAUUUGAAAAUAAGAUGAGUAGAGUUCACAAACGACUCAGCUCAGGGGCCAAAAUAGUUCUUUCCAAAGGUGCAGCACCCUUCACAAAAGGGUGAUCCAAAAGCUUAACUGCUG
rnacentral:lncRNA from 1 species